GAUGAACGCUGGCGGCAUGCCUAAUACAUGCAAGUCGAGCGAACGGACGAGAAGCUUGCUUCUCUGAUGUUAGCGGCGGACGGGUGAGUAACACGUGGAUAACCUACCUAUAAGACUGGGAUAACUUCGGGAAACCGGAGCUAAUACCGGAUGAUAUUUUGAACCGCAUGGUUCAAAAGUGAAAGACGGUCUUGCUGUCACUUAUAGAUGGAUCCGCGCUGCAUUAGCUAGUUGGUAAGGUAACGGCUUACCAAGGCAACGAUGCAUAGCCGACCUGAGAGGGUGAUCGGCCACACUGGAACUGAGACACGGUCCAGACUCCUACGGGAGGCAGCAGUAGGGAAUCUUCCGCAAUGGGCGAAAGCCUGACGGAGCAACGCCGCGUGAGUGAUGAAGGUCUUCGGAUCGUAAAACUCUGUUAUUAGGGAAGAACAUAUGUGUAAGUAACUGUGCACAUCUUGACGGUACCUAAUCAGAAAGCCACGGCUAACUACGUG
rnacentral:rRNA from 1 species